AUUGAACGCUGGCGGCAUGCCUUACACAUGCAAGUCGAACGGCAGCACGGGAGCAAUCCUGGUGGCGAGUGGCGAACGGGUGAGUAAUAUAUCGGAACGUGCCCAGUAGUGGGGGAUAACUGCUCGAAAGAGCAGCUAAUACCGCAUACGACCUGAGGGUGAAAGGGGGGGAUCGCAAGACCUCUUGCUAUUGGAGCGGCCGAUAUCAGAUUAGCUAGUUGGUGGGGUAAAGGCCUACCAAGGCAACGAUCUGUAGUUGGUCUGAGAGGACGACCAGCCACACUGGGACUGAGACACGGCCCAGACUCCUACGGGAGGCAGCAGUGGGGAAUUUUGGACAAUGGGCGCAAGCCUGAUCUAGCAAUGCCGCGUGCAGGAAGAAGGCCUUCGGGUUGUAAACUGCUUUUGUCAGGGAAGAAAUCCUCUAGGUUAAUACCCUUGGGGGGAUGACGGUACCUGAAGAAUAAGCACCGGCUAACUACGUGCCAGCCGCCGCGGUAAUAC
rnacentral:rRNA from 1 species